rnacentral:lncRNA from 1 species
GAAUGAAUGCCAAAAACUUGCUCAACUUCCAGAAUCCAUAGGCUCCCUUGUGUAUCUACAGUGGUUGUCAUUAUCCAAAUGCCACUCAUUGAGACAAAUCCCAGACUCGAUCGGAAAGUUGACAUCAUUGACAGAGCUGCAUUUUAAAUCUACGGCCAUUGAAGAAUUACCUGAAUCCAUUGGUUCUUUGAAGGAGCUCAAGACUCUAGAUGCCUCUUAUUGCAAAUCGUUAGCCCACAUACCCAACUCAAUAGGCAAUUUAACAUCUCUGUCUCACCUUGACCUGAAUGAAUGCCAAAAACUUGCUCAACUUCCAGAAUCCAUAGGCUCCCUCGUGUCCUUGCUGUGGUUGUUAUUAUCGGGAUGCCAUUCGUUGAAACAAAUUCCAGACUCGAUCGGAAAGUUGACAUCAUUGACGGAGCUGAAUUUGAAAUCUACGGCCAUUGAAGAAUUACCUGAAUCCCAUUGGUUCUUUGAAGGAGCUCAAGACUCUAGAUGCCUCUAUUGCAAAUCGUUAGCCCACAUACCCAACUCAAUAGGCAAUUUAACAUCUCUGUCUCACCUUGACCUGAAUGAAUGCCAAAAACUUGCUCAACUUCCAGAAUCCAUAGGCUCCCUUGUGUAUCUACAGUGGUUGUCAUUAUCCAAAUGCCACUCAUUGAGACAAAUCCCAGACUCGAUCGGAAAGUUGACAUCAUUGACAGAGGUGCAUUUUAAAUCUACGGCCAUUGAAGAAUUACCUGAAUCCAUUGGUUUUUUGAAGGAGCUUAAGACUCUAGAUGCCUCUUAUUGCAAAUCGUUAGCCCACAUACCCAACUCAAUAGGCAAUUUAACAUCUCUGUCUCACCUUGACCUGAAUGAAUGCCAAAAACUUGCUCAACUUCCAGAAUCCAUAGGCUCCCUUGUGUAUCUACAAUGGUUGUCAUUAUCCAAAUGCCACUCAUUGAGACAAAUUCCGAAUUUGAUUGGAAAGUUGAUAUCAUUGACAGAGCUACAUUUGAAAUUUAUGGCCAUUGAAGAAUUACCUGAAUCCAUUGGUUCUUUGAAUGAGCUCAAGACUUUAGAUGCCUCUUAUUGCAAAUCGUUAGCCCGCAUACCUAACUCAAUAGGCAAUUCAACAUCUCUGUCUUGCCUUGACCUAACGGAAUGCCAUAAACUUGCUCAACUUCCAGACUCUAUAGGCUUCCUCGUGU